rnacentral:sRNA from 1 species
GUCAACGACCCACCGCUUAAAGCUUAGCUUUUGAAGCGGGGGCUUCACAGCCUAGUUGACUAGACUAAGUGCUUAGAGCACUACGUUAUUUGAGAAAUUGAUAUAGGUACCUACAGAUGU